rnacentral:rRNA from 1 species
GACAGCCCCGUACACAAAAAUGCACAUGCUGUGAGCUCGAUGAGUAGGGCGGGACACGUGGUAUCCUGUCUGAAUAUGGGGGGACCAUCCUCCAAGGCUAAAUACUCCUGACUGACCGAUAGUGAACCAGUACCGUGAGGGAAAGGAGAAAAGAACCCCGGCGAGGGGAGUGAAAAAGAACCUGAAACCGUGUACGUACAAGCAGUGGGAGCACGCUUCGGCGUGUGACUGCGUACCUUUUGUAUAAUGGGUCAGCGACUUAUAUUCUGUAGCAAGGUUAACCGAAUAGGGGAGCCGAAGGGAAACCGAGUCUUAACUGGGCGUUAAGUUGCAGGGUAUAGACCCGAAACCCGGUGAUCUAGCCA